GCCUAGCUGCGUCUCGGGCUUUGGGGGAGGAAUAGCGACGCCUCUCGGACCUACUCGCCCCACACUUGUGCUUCGGGCUGUAUCAAGCAGGGUGGGCUCCAGAGCCCCUUGGGGUCGGUCUCUUCCAGGUAACCCCCCACCCCUAGCAGUUUGCUGGGAUCAGGCGGGCAAAGCCCCCGCUCCUUAGCUCCAAACUGAUUCUUCCUUCUGCUGGGAAAGUCCCCCCCCCCCCCCCGUCCCCGCCCUUAGCGCUUUCUGGAUUGUGCCCCGGGGUCUUAUUCCCUGCCCCCUGGGUUGCAGUCUUUGCCUGGUACUGCGUAACACUGCUCACUCCAGAGCUGUGAUCCCAGGUAUUACUACACCCCAUCCCCACCCCUAGCCGUGCUGGGAGCUCAAAUGCCAAGCACAACACAUCACCGCCCGAAAAGAACUGGCAGGGGUUCACCGGGACACCUGCUAUCGAGCCAGUUUCAGUCUCAGUCAGCAAAUCCUCUUGAACAGUUUAUGGAGAGAAACGGAGACUCCCACUUUAAAAUGCAAGACUUGGCCUGUAAAGCUGGUUUCCUCAGAAGAAAAGGGCAUGGUUGUCUAAACUCAUGAAUGUAAGAAGUGAAGCUGUUUCCUUAUUGUGAAACUUCCCCAGGACAAUCAUUCCGGCUCAGUCAAGAAAUGACCUAAAAGUCCCAAUCUGACACCAGCAAUUUUAUCCACUAAUUUUAUGCACUUCCAGCUGGUUUUGCUACAUUUUGCUCAAAAAACUUAGGAAAAGAUAAAGUCCCUGAUCCAAAGAUCUUAUCUUGGAGGGGGGGGGGAGCCUUAUCCAGCAAAGAUUUAAUAUAAUGCAACAGACCAGCUACAAAUGGAACUUAGAGGCAAAAUAGCACAUCUGUAUGAUAUGGGGACCUCUCCGCAGGGCAGAAGCUGCUCUAAGAAGACAGCUAAGGAGUCCCCCAAACUGAGGGCUGGAGUACAGCUAGCAUUUUCAGCUCUAUUCCUCCUUCCCACCCCGCAGUUCCUAUGGCCCUGAAGUCAAUGGAGCUGUGCCACUUAAACUAGGACUGAAUAUGGCCCAGUGUGUUCUGUUACAUGCUUGUGGUUUUAACCGUAAAAGUAAACUAAUAGCUUUUGCAACUAGGAUAUAACAUUCACCAUUGAAUUAAACCCUAAGUCACCACGGAAAACAGGGUAGACACUGGUUUUAUUACAAGGAUAAAUUCUACAUUCUGCUCUGCUUCUAAAGAAACUUUCAAGGAAAAAGAAAACAAAAAUAUGUUCAUUUGCCAAGUAUUCAGAAGGUGAU